AACGAACGCUGGCGGCAUGCCUAACACAUGCAAGUCGAACGAGACCUUCGGGUCUAGUCGCGCACGGGUGCGUAACGCGUGGGAACCUGCCCUUAGGUUCGGAAUAACUCCCCGAAAGGGGUGCUAAUACCGGAUAAUGUCUUCGGACCAAAGAUUUAUCGCCUUUGGAUGUGCCCGCGUUGGAUUAGCUAGUUGGUAGGGUAAAAGCCUACCAAGGCGACGAUCCAUAGCUGGUCUGAGAGGAUGAUCAGCCACACUGGGACUGAGACACGGCCCAGAAUCCUACGGGAAGCAGCAGUGGGGAAUAUUGGACAACGGGGGAAAGCAUGAUCCAGCAAGGCCGGGUGAGUGAUGAAGGCCUUAGGGAUGUAAAGCUCUUUUACCCGGGAUGAUAAUGACGGUACCGGGAGAAUAAGCUCCGGCUAACUCCGUG
rnacentral:rRNA from 1 species